GGCUAUUAGGCAACAAAAAUGAGUGUAGCACUAUCAUGAGAUAGUUAAACAUAAUACUAGCAAUCCGUAAUUUGAUAAAAUGAAACAUCUUCCACAAUUAUCACAUUUCUGCAAGUACUUCUCCAGUUCUCCUUUACUUUUCCCUAAGGAGCGAGUUGUGAGAGUCAGUCAGACUGAUAGUUGCUAUAUAUAAUUAUCUCCCAUUUCAUGAAGUUAAUUUUUUGUGAAGCUGCUUUCAGAGUGAUGCAAAUUGCGUUUCUGAGGUUUAAAAAUAUAAAAAUUCUUGGGGGACAUGACAGAACCCCCCAGGUGCCUCGCGCAUUCGCCGCUCGCAAAACUAGAUUGUACAUCCGAAAACUUUGACUAAUGUACGAAAAAUCCUGGAUCCGCCCC